CACGCAUGCGUGAUGCAGGGUUAUGCUAGCUCACUAACACAGACUGGGGGUUGGGAGUGUGAUUAGUCAAGUCAGUGCAGCAGGUCCUGCUCAGAGAAGAGGCAGCCAAAGAUGCCUGUCUCAUCCACCCUAAAAAUGGUCCGCAAAGCAAUGCAGCAAACAAGAUCUGUUCCCUUCCUGUCUCCAAAAUAAAAUAUAAUAAGAUAAACAAAGAACAUAAUAUUGGGGAUGGACAAAGCAAUAAAACAGAAGGAAAAGGAGCAGAAACAAGAAUCAGAUUCCCAGUUGUUAACGCACUCAAGAAUGCCAUUAAAACAGUAAGCUGAGUGUACCGAGGAAUUAUGAAUAAACUUUCCAAUCCAUGAACACUAUCAAGAACAGUGAGCACUCCAGCCAGUAAUGAGCUUAACGACUUCAUGUUCAGGAGCUAGAACGUACCAAAAGAUGGGACCACUAGUCAGCUGCC
rnacentral:sRNA from 1 species